UGUAAUUGAGGGGAAGGUAAUCCAGGUGCAGGUGAUUUAGAGGAAUGUCAUUCAUUGGCAGGUAAUCCAGGGGCAGGUAAUUCAGAGGAAUGUAAUUCAGGGGCAUGUAAUUCAGAUGAAAGGUAAUUCAGGGACAGGUAAUUUAUAGGAAUGUCAUUCAUGGGCAGGUAAUUCAGGGGCAUGUAAUUCAGGGGCAUGUAAUUCAGGGGCAGGUAAUUCAGGGGCAUGUAAUUCAGAUGAAAGGUAAUUCAGGGGCAUGUAAUUUAGGUGCAGGUAUUUCAGGGGCAUGUCAUUCACGGGCAGGUCAUUCAGGUGCAUGUAAUUAAGAGGCAUGUAAUUGAGGGACAGGUAAUUCAGGUGUUUGUAAUUCAGGGGCAGGCAAUUCAGAUGCAUGUAAUUCAGAUGCAUGUAAUUUAGGGGCAGGUAAUUCAGGGGCAGGUACUUCAGGGGUAUGUAAUUUAGGAGCAGGUAAUUCAGGUGUAUCUUAUUCAGGUGUAUGUUAUUCAGGGGCAUGUAAUUCAGGGGCAGUUAAUCCAGGGGCAUGUCAUUCACGGGCAGGUAAUUCCGGGGCAGGUAAUUUAGGGAUAGAUAAUUGAGGGGCAUAUCAUUCAGGGUCAGUUCAUUCAUGUGCAUGUAAUUAAGAGGCAUGUAAUUGAGGGGCAGGUAAUUCAGGGGCAUCUAAUUCAGGUGUUUGUAAUUCAGGGACAGGUAAUUCAGAUGCAUGUAAU